rnacentral:rRNA from 1 species
UUGGGGAGUCUUCGUAAAGAAGACGAAGCCGUUGACGCUCGACUGUCAAGAAAAGCCUCUAGGGAGGGAGCAUCGCGCCCGUACCCGAAACCGACACAGGUGGGCUGGCUGAGCAGGCUAAGGUGAGCGGGAUAACUCUCGUUAAGGAACUCUGCAAGUUGACCCCGUAACUUCGGGAGAAGGGGUGCCGCACGCGUGACGUCAAUGCUGACGAAAGCGCGGAGCGGUCGCAGAAACCAGGCUCAGGCGACUGUUUACUAAAAACACAGGUCUCUGCAUAAGGCGCAAGCCGAAGUAUAGGGACUGACACCUGCCCGGUGCUGGAAGGUUAAAUGGAGAGGUUAGUGCGGUAACGUGCGAAGCUUUGAGAUGAAGCCCCAGUAAACGGCGGCCGUAACAAUAACGGUCCUAAGGCAGCGAAAUUCCUUGUCGGGUAAGUUCCGACCUGCACGAAUGGUGUAACGAUCUGAGCGCUGUCUCGACGGGAGACCCGGUGAAAUUGUGGUCCUGGUAAAGACACCAGGUACCUGGUGUGACGGAAAGACCCCAUGGAGCUUUACUGUAGCCUGGUACUGGAUUUUGUCAUGUCAUGCACAGGAUAGGUGGGAGACUUAGAAGCGAGUACUUUGGUAUUCGUGAGUCGCUGUUGGGAUACCACCCUUGGGAUGACGGAAUUCUAACCCCUGGCGUCUGAAACGACGGGGGGGACACUGCCAGGUGGGCAGUUUGACUGGGGCGGUCGCCUCCCAAAGAGUAACGGAGGCGCGCGAUGGUCACCUCGGGGCGAAUGGAAACCGCCCUAAGAGAGCGCAAGCGUAUAAGGUGGCCUGACUGAGAGACCGACAGGUCGAUCAGGGACGAAAGUCGGUGCUAGUGAUCCGGCGGUGCGGAAUGGAACGGCCGUCGCUCAACGGAUAAAAGCUACCCUGGGGAUAACAGGCUGAUCUUGCCCGAGAGUUCCCAUCGACGGCAAGGUUUGGCACCUCGAUGUCGGCUCGUCGCAUCCUGGGGCUGAAGCAGGUCCCAAGGGUUGGUCUGUUCGCCCAUUAAAGCGGUACGUGAGCUGGGUUUAGAACGUCGUGAGACAGUUCGGUCCCUAUCCACCACGGGCGCAGGGUAUUUGAGAAGAUCUGCUUCUAGUACGAGAGGACCGAAGUGGACGAACCACUGGUGUACCGGUUGUGACGCCAGUUGCAUACGCCGGGUAGCUAUGUUCGGACCGGAUAACCGCUGAAGGCAUCUAAGCGGGAAGCCGACUUCAAGAUGAGAUACCCCGUUUCGUAAGGAAGUAAGGCGUCCCGGAGACUACGGGAUAGAUAGGCCGGAGGUGUGAGCCCUGUAAGGGGUUGAGCUGACCGGUACUAAUACGCCGAGGCCUUUUCCU